rnacentral:lncRNA from 1 species
UUCGCACAGUACCCACAGCUUUAUUUUGCUUCACAGCAGUACCUGACCUUGCAUGUUUACAUUUCCUUCUCCUUCUGCCUGACCAGAAUAAAGCUCCAUAGGGGUGAGAAGUGUGCUUGUUUUUUCAUGUUGUAUUCACUGUCGUAUCGUCAGCAUUUGCCUGUAGCACCAAGGAUACAUAUCUUCAUUGCUGUGUGCUUGAGAGCAGUGGGGGUUGUUUUUCUACUUGAUGCAGGGCCUCUCUGUCUCCACUGUCAAACUGGGAGCUCCCUGAGGUCAGGGUUUGUGUUUUCCUUUCAGAUUGAGAAUUCCUUAAGGAUUGAGGCUAUGAAUCUCCCAUAGAGUAGAAGCCCACACAUGCUUCCCAUGCCAGAAUGGGGUGGAACUGGAACGACAAGAUGCAGUCUUCACCCCCAUUCCUUUAGACCCAAGAUGGGAUCUCCUUCAAUCCUGGCUGGAAAGUGGGAUAGCGUUCGGAGGGCCAGUUGAGUCCUGUGGACCAGACAGCGGCCUAUGAACAGCAUUGGCCCUCCCAUUUCCAACCAUGUGAACACCUGCGGCCCCUAUGUGGAGGCCAGAGGAAGGCAGGCCCCCGUUACCCAUCUGGACAGUCCACUUGGCCCUGCUGGUAUCAUACCUUGGGCUUGCCCCCUCUGUAUGUGGCCUGGGGUCUAUUCCAGGAAGGGGUGGGCAGCAGAGGGUUGAGAGUGGACAGGCCACAGUGCUCCAGGCUGUUAAUGAUACCUGCAUUUUCCUGGGCCCUAUGGCCAGGCCGUCACCUUUCCUCCAUUUUUUUGACCUUCUCUUUUAUCUACUCUGGGGAAAAGAGAUACCAGGAUCUCAUCCACUGCUCUGGCUCCUGCCACCACCUUUGCCUCAAGCACACCCUGCAUCUCCUGUCUGAAGCCCUCACCUGUCUCCAAGACCCCUCCCUCCUUUUCUCCCAAUGAGACCUGCUCCUCCAUGAAGUCAGCCCAGCCAUGACUCCAGGUGCACCUAGCUCAGGAAGCCUUCCUUUCUAGUCUCUACAGCUGUUUCCCUCUUUUCCCAUCUCAUUCUUCCCUCUUCAUUUCUGGCCUAUCUUUUAACAUCUCCAUCCCUUUGAUGCCUCAUCCAUCUCCUCUUCACCGUCUUGUCUUUGCCUGUUCCCUUUUCUGCUUCUCUGCUCCUCUUAAGGCUGGGUUUUCCUCCUGCGUCUCCUCUGUGCGCCUGUGAGUGUCCCCUGUCUGCUCAUCCUCUCUCCCUCUGUCCACCUGUUUCUCUUUCUUCCAGCGUUUCUCCAUCUCACGCGCUGCCUCUGUCAUUUUCUCUCUUUCUUCGUCUUUCUCUCUCUCUCAUUGUUCUGAGACAUAGCAGUGCCUGGCCCAGCGGGGACAACAUGUUUCACAGACAAAUCAUCCAACAAAAGAGAGGAGGAACGUGCUUCAG